rnacentral:misc_RNA from 1 species
GUAGAGGUAAAGAGAGAGAGGCUUUGAAAUCUUUUGCACAGAAAGAGAAAGGUUACACCAUGAGAAAGAAGAUAUGGAUUUUACUGUGUCUUUUGUUCCUGGAAUGCUUUCUGGUGUUGGGAGUGGAGGCAAUGGUGCAAGAGAAGGCAGAAGCAACAAUUCCAGUAACAACAUUAUCACCUCCAGAAGGCAACACGACAUUCCUUGGGGGCACCACAUGGUGCGUGGCUUUUGCAGGUGUGUCUCAAAUUGAUCUGCAGAAUGCAUUAGACUGGGCCUGUGGGCUAGGCAUGGCAGAUUGCUCUGCAAUCCAGGAGGGUGGAUCCUGUUUUGAACCUGACACUCUGCUUUCUCAUGCCUCGUACGCUUUCAACAACUAUUACCAGCAAAAUGGCAAUUCUGAUGUUGCUUGCAAUUUUGGAGGAACUGGCAGCUUAACCAAAACUAACCCUAGUUAUGGAAAAUGCAACUACGCUGCAUCUGGAUUGGGAUCUCUUCACUCGUCAGCACCUCCAUUGUCCAAGUGCAUACGAAAAAUUGUAUGGUGGAAGUUUCUUGGGAUUUUGCUGCUUUUGUACUUGAGAAGCUGAUUAAACGAUCAGGACUUGUGGAUGAAGCUGGAUGAUGAUGAUUAUGGUGUUUCCAAUUCUUGUCAUGGAAAUGAAAAUGCACAAGAAUUAGGGCUUAGUUAAUUAAGAGGAAGAUCUUCUUUUUCUAUAUUAGCUGAUCUAGAUCAAUCUUUUUUUUUUU